ensembl:lncRNA
CUUUUCUUUGCAGCCCUCCUGGAGUUUGGAAUUAAUACUGAGCUAGCAAACAACAGAUUUCUCUCCUGCAGACAAUGAUUUUGCAGCCUAUCUGGAUCAGGCCUGGGGUCUUCCAGGAGCACAGUCAUGUCUCCAGCACACGACCGAAUGAAAGAGAGAACAAGGAAAAAGAGAGGAAAAUGAACUUGGACACAAAACUCAGCACAUACCUCCAGGUCCUGGACCUCUUGAUAUAGCUUAGUCGUCUCCAGCUGUUCUGUGCUGCAUUACAGGAGUUGGAUAAGAUUCUUUCUCCACCUCUGGUCUCUCUCAUAAGUUUACAUUGGGCCUUUAAGAAUUCACUUCAUCACUACUGGCCAUAGCGCAACUGUACUUUAACUUUCAGCUUUUACCGACAUCCUCUGCUUAGCCAACAGAGAGCAAGGCUGAAGAAUAUUCCCUGACAGGUUCCCAUUUCCCAUGCCAAUUAAAUAAAUUGGCCUUUUCUAUGCUAUGGUGACAGCAGAAUGCAGACCACAAGAGUAGGAGAGGUGUUUGAAUUUUAUUUUUACCAGCCAUCCCCAUGAUAAUAAAUCCUACCAGAAGUUACAUCUUUGUUAACUCCCAGAUGUUUUGGAGUAAAUGAGCUGUUUCUCCUAACCAUUUGAAGGCAUUAGGGAUCUCAUCACCAAUUUUUGAUAUCUUGAGACAUAUACUAGGGACGUGAGAUGAGCAGCCUAAUUCCCAGGCUGCUGAAAUCCAUCUCACUUACUCUUUUGGUUAGAUCUCUUCUGAUUGUGUCAGGCCUAAGUUUUGACUUAAGUGACUAAAGAGUAAAUACUUUUGAAUGUACAUAGAUAUCUAAAUCAUUUGACUUCUCCUAAGGUAUCCAAAGCAACUGUAUAGGGCUACUUGAUUUAUAGAGUACCAUACCCUUCUGUAUCAACAUCUGGAAGCCAGAAAGUACAAUUCAAAGCAUCUCAAUGUCUUUAUGUAUCUGCAGGCAUGCUAUUAAACUGAGCAUCUUGUUUACAUAUAGACAUAUGUAUAGACAUAUACGUGUACAUGCAUAAAUUUGGAUGUGACAGGUUAACUGUGCAAUACAAUACUUUGUUUCAUGUGUAGGUUACUAUGAAAGUAAUGCCUCCUAUUAAUUUCCAUGGAAAUGACAAUAGCUACAAUGAGCACAAUAACACUAUUUGAUAGAGCAAAUUCUCAGCCCAAUACACUAUUUUUUAACACUGUUGCCACCAUUAGCAAUGCAUUUUCACCAACAGUGAACAAGAGCCCUCAUGACAUGCCUGUAAAAUUUGCAUGAUUUUCUGGAAUCUGGCUUGCCUUUCAUGUCAUGUUUACUACUGCUGAAACACACCACCCACCAACGCACUGUGCUCACAUCCACUAUUUGAUCUCCAUAAAUGUUCACAAGCACUGAUGAAUGUCAAUGGGUUUGAUCUUGGAGGACAUGGAGGAAGGGAGGAAUUCAAUUCCACACCUUUGCUUCAUACAGGCUUCCAUAUGAGAUGCUAUUGUAUCAGACUGUCCCUCUGCUGCCACCUGUUGUACGGCAACAAAAUGUAAUGGAAUAUUGGUGGUAGAUUCAACCUCUACUGCCAUACCACCAGCAUCCACCUCUGAUGUUGUGGACCAACAUAGCAUUAUAGAAUCACUAAGGUUGGAAAAGACCUCCAAGAUCAGACAUAACAAAACAUAACAAAAUAGUAGGCAUUAUUUUUGGUGCAUCCCAUGUAGUUCAAGGCAGCUUAGGAAAUUUUCAUAUUUUUUACUAAUCCUAAUGCUCACCACCACACUCUGUGCUGCUUAUCUUCUUGAACCAGCUGAACUAGUUAGUUUAAAAUCUGCCUCAUUAAAAACCCUGCAGUAAAAGAAAAGGCAAUAUUUUCUUUCUAUUCUUAGAGACAUUUUUUAAUGGCUGCUACUGCAAUUGUUAAAACUUAAUAUUCCAUGAAGAUUUUUAGUGGUAGUAACUCGUGAGCUAGAAUUCACACAGAAGAAGGUUAAAACAGAUUCAAAUCAUAUCAAACAUGUGAAAGUAUUUAGUUUCAAUUAAAUUAAUAAAACUCUAGUUUCUGAUCUCCUUCUCUCCCAAAUUCACAGGUAUUUUUAUAACAUGUAGGCACUUUUCUCACUCUUUCUUUCAUUGUCUAUCUUCAAUAAAUUAUUUACUUACCAUUAAGAAACUGUCAGUCUGUAAAAACAAAACAAGUUGAAAAUUAGAGAAAUUGGUAAAAUCUUAGUUCUUUUCCCCUCUCCCCCCCCCCCCCCCCACAUAUGGUUUACAACAGCUUUGUUAAAAGAUAAUAUUUUUUGUUGAGAGGUGCCUAGAAUGACUCAUGAAGUAGUCAUCAGUGGUAAUUAUAAUCUGGCAUUUAUUUAGUGAGCUCUUAUUUUCCUAAUCUUCCACGGAAGCUUCUUUAGUCAAGGUCAAAUUCUUUCAGUGUUUUCAUCUACAAGGAGCACGGACAAUUUGCCUUCCCUCUCCUCCAAGUGUUCAAAGACAAUUGGUUUUGUCACUUUCCUAAGCAACCUUCUGAAAUGUGUGGGAAAGGAAACAACCACAAAGAACAUAACUUUUACAUUCAGAGGAGAACAACAUGUCAAAAUUCCUUAAACCAUGAUAAAUGUACCAAAAUCAUCCAGCUCUUUCCAAAUAGCAAUGAGUGAUAGUGAUUUAUGACUGUGGAGAUUUUUCUUAAGCUACUAGUUUCUCUAGAAGAAAGAAAGGUCACUGUAAGUUAGGGUGUACAUAGCUUAUCUUGUUCUUUGCAGCCUGCCAUUCCCUUUGAACUAGUCCAUGUCAGACUGUAGACCUGUGCUAGAGUACUACCAUUAAUAAUCAUCAUUAUUGUCAUAAAAAUAAGGAAGAAAGGAGCACAUAUGCGCACUCAAAUACUUAACAAGCAUUGUGUUUAUGAACCUCUUGACAUCACCACAUAAGUAAGUCCAAUAGUUCGUAGAAGGAAAAAGCAAAUCCUAACAGGAAAAAGAAAUAGCUGAUUGCUACGUAGGGAAACAAAAACUGGAUCAAAGAAGGUGAAUGGAAAAAAUUCAGCAAUCUGCACUGUGUUAAAGAGACUGGUCAAUUAUUUACAGGUAACAACAGUCCAAUCCAACAAAUGAUGACAGAAGCUACUGUAUGGGUAGGAAAGUGGAAAUUUUUUUCUCCAGCAAUUCCUGUUUCUUUGCUAUAAUAUCACAGUAAAACUCACUUUUCCAUUGCUCUCCUUAGAGAUUGCCUACCUCCAAUAAGCAAUAGGAUGAAAAGACUUGGCAUGGGCUGAGACUUUGUUUCAUGAAUAUAUCUGAUAGAGACAAUGCAGAAAUCCUGAAGCCUUUGUAAAUUUACUUGUGCAAAAAUUACAUGUAUAUCAUCCUCAUACCAUGGGUCUGUCCAGCCUAUCAUUUUGGCUUUGGUGAGACAAUACUCAGAUAAGAUGAAUUACCAGAAAACAUGCAGUGAGGCUUCCCCAUAAAACUGACUUUCCAGUAAUUUGUAACAUCCUAAGUAAGAAACAAUCUCAAAUGGAGGCUUCAAUGAGAAUUUAAUGCAAUCUUCUUUCCUGCCUUUCUGCUGUCUAAUGGAAAGGAAUUCCUGCCUCAAAUGGUGUUUAGAAGAGAUGUAUGACUGAGGAAAGACUUAAUCUAUGUCUUCACUUUCUAAGAGUGACUCUUAGAAAUCGAGAAUGAUAUAGCUAAGACCUGAAUCUCAUUACACAAUAACAGAAUAACUAUAGCUUGACUUUAUUUGGAAAUGGUCAGUAGAGGGAUGAUUAAUGUUUCUCAGGGUAAUGUCUCCCAGGGACAAGUCACAUUUCUCGGAGGUUGGUAUUGGGAUCAGUACUAUUUAACAACUUUGUUGUCAACGUGGACAGUGGGAUUAAGUGCACCCUCAGCAAGUUUGCAACUGUCUCCAAGCUGAGUGUUUUGGUCAACACUCUGGAAAGAAGGGAUGCAAUCCAUAGGGACCUUGACCUAUGAAGAAAGGUUGAGAGAGUUGAGGUUUUUCAACUUGGAGAAGAGAAGACUUCAGGUAGAACUUGUACCAGCCUUCCUUCACAUAAACGGGAACUACAGGAAAGCUGGAGAGGGACUCUUUUUCAGACAGUGCAGUAACAGGACAAAGGCUAGUGGUUUUAAGUGGAAAGAGGGAAGAUUUAAAUUAGACAUUAGGAAGAAUUCUUAACUCAGAGUGUGAUGAGGUGCUGGCACAGGCUGCUCAGAGAAUCUGUGGAUGCCCCAACCCUGGAGCUGUUCAAGGCCAGAUUGGAUGGUUCCUCAAAAGGAACCUGACCUAUGGGAGGAGUCUCAUCUCAGAACAGAGAGCUCAUCUUUAAGGUCUCUUCCAACACUAACCAUUCUAAGUUACUAUUUUUCUAUGUUUUUAUGAAAUUCACUUUCUGUAGCACAUAGUACAGGAUGCUGAUGAUUAAAAUAGUUCAAGGAAAGAGAAAAGUAUGGCAGGAGGCUGAAAACUAGGCAGCACUGUCCAGUGCAUUGAUUUUGGCUAAAGAAAUGUGCGGGGCAAACUCCUUAGAAAAAGUGUCACUGUAUGAAUUUGGAUUCAUGAAAACAAAGCAGAUGACUAGCAAGAAAACAAAAAUAGUUCCCAAAUUUUGAAUUAAACCUAAAUUAAAUUUGAAAUAAACCUAAAAAACUUAGUAUAACUUCUACUGGCCUAAACUUUGUUACUGUCUUUUAGCUCUGAAGCUCAUUUAAGAAUGAAGAUCAUGCAAACCUUAUUAAGAUAUCACACUGAAUGAAUCCAAAGUUUACUUGAAGACUUUUGAAACAAAUUUCAUUUCUUUGCCUAUGGAUGCUUGUUUUGUUGUAGAUUGGCUUUGAUUUUAAGCAAGGCUUAAACUCUGACUGAAGCUUUUCUUGUGCUUGGGGCACCUUUACAAGGCUCUGCCCCAUGUAUAUUCCCUGGUAUAUUCCAAGAUUUAUGCUUAUGUUUAUUUUCCCUAUAACCGUGGUGUCUGUAAGACAUCUCACACAUUCAGCCUCCUAUUUGCAUGAAGUUUAAUUAUCUAUGAGGCUUCAGGCUCUUCUGUCGUUCUGGUUAAUGAGCUCAGAAGUUAUUGGCAGUGCAAUGUAUAGACAUACACAAGGUUACUAACACCACCUAAGUUUCAUUUCAGUGGGAAAGCAGCUUAAAAACAGAACAGUUAACUAGAAAACAGAUGGAUGGAUCAUUUACUGUGAGAAAGGCAUGAAGGUCAGAUUUGAACAGAUCGGUUUAAAGGGAUGAUUUCAAAGAGAAAGAGAGCACUUGAGAGCAGAGUUUGAAGCAAAAUAUUUUGUACUCUGCUGUCAGCAGAAAGCAUGAGAUAAUAGAUAUGAAACAGGGAGUGAAAAUGGAGGAAAGGGAUGAGAUAUGGGAGUCCUGAAGGCACCUGAGCAGAAGAAACAUGAUAGUGCAAAUGGAGAUAUGGUGCAUCUGACUGCCUCAGGAGAUGCACUAACUGUAGGAACAUAUUCUUUACAUCAGGAGCUGGUGGGCUGACCCCCAACAGAGCACUGUGGGUUUGGAUCAGCAGGUGGGUGAGCAGAAGACACAAAGAGGGACCUAUCUGUUCUUAAACAGCAGAGCUGACUGAUACCUACACAACUCCUUUUAUGAGGAGGACUAAAAUAGACAGGACUCAGAGAUUUCUUUUUUGUUGUUGUUGUAAGAUUUUGGAUUUUCCCAGGGAAAUUAUUAUUUUUUUUUCCUAUGAAUAAUGCUUUCCUAAUUAUUUUCUUUUCAAACCUUUGGUAGAGAAAACAACAAACAAGCAAAACCCAACAUGUAUUUAUCAUUUUCAUUUCCAGUGUAUCAGAAAAUCUGUGACACAGAAGCAGAUUUUCCCAAUCUUUUCUCUGCUAUGAACAAUUAUUGUGAAUUCCAAAGCAUAUUUGGGGAUGACACCCACCCAAACUCAUCCGACCUUUCUUUAUGAGAAUUCUGGCUACUCAAGUAUGUAGAUUACUCAAAAAAUAAUGUUUCCCAUUUAUUUCUAUGGAAUCUACACAAGAUACGCAAUAACACUAUCUGAUAGAGCAAAUUCUCAGAUACAAAACACUUUUUCAAUGUAGUGACCUCCAUCUUGUAUGUAUGUAUCUUGUAUGUAUGCCACUGAUGAGCAAGAGCUUACAUGCCACGCUCAUAAAAAUCUGCACCAGAGGAGGGCACCCAUUGUUUCACAGCUUCUGUGAUGACAUUGUUACUAGGAAAAUGUUGUCCACACAGUCCAUCUUUCAUUGGCAUGAACAGAUGGAAAUCAAAAGAUGCCAAAUCUGGACCAUGUGGUGGCGUGGUUGGAUGGUCCAGCCAAGACUGGCAGUGUGCUCCAGGGUCUUCCAUCUGAUAUGGGUCCUGAUGUCAUUGUGUUGCAGGAUAAGGAUUGUCUGCUUCUCUGGCCUAACUCUAGAUGUGUGAGCCUUCAGCUAAGGCAACAUCAUGACAUAGUGGUCAGAACUGAUGGUUUGUCCAAGUUCCAGGAAAUCCAGAAGGAUCACCAUUUUCUAUCUCAAAAGACAGUGCACAUCACUUUACCCACUGAGGGCUGUCUUGAACUUUUUAUUUGAUGGGGAAUUCACAUGUUGCCACACAUGGACUGCCAUUUUGACUCUGGCUAGUAGUGGUGACAUCAUGUCUUAUCACCAGUACUGAUGUGAUUUAGGAAACUGUCACCUUCAGCAUCAUAUUAUUUGAAUAGAUCCUGGCAAACUUGCAUAUGGUGUUCUUUCUGUUCUUAUGUGAACAUUCAUGGGACCCACCCGGCACAAGCUUUGCAAUACUCUUAAUGUUGUCACUAGUGUUUCCAACUCAGUGAGGCUGAUAUUCAUCUUUGUACAAAACCCUCAACAUAAUAAUAAUAAUAAUAAUAAUAAUAAUAAUAAUAA